rnacentral:rRNA from 1 species
UCAAGUUAUUAAGGGUGCAGGGCGGAUGCCUUGGCACUAGGAGCCGAUGAAGGACGUGAUAAGCUGCGAUAAGCUUCGGGGAGUUGCACGUAAACUUUGAUCCGAAGAUUUCCGAAUGAGGAAACUCACUUAGAGUAAUGUCUAAGUAUCAUUAAGUGAAUACAUAGCUUAAUGAGGGGAACUCAGGGAACUGAAACAUCUAAGUACCUGAAGGAAGAGAAAGAAAUUCGAUUCCGUAAGUAGCGGCGAGCGAACGCGGAUUAGCCCAAACCAAUGAAGUUUUCUUUAUUGGGGUUGCGGACAUAUCAUAACGAAGAGGUAUCGUAAUUGAAGAGGUUUGGAAAGACCCACCACAGAAGGUAAUAGUCCUGUAUGUUAAACGAGAAGACUUUAGAUAUGAUCCAGAGUACCACGGGACACGUGAAACCCUGUGGGAAGCAGGAGGGACCACCCUCCAAGGCUAAAUACUACCUAGUGACCGAUAGCGUAUAGUACCGUGAGGGAAAGGUGAAAAGAACCCCGGGAGGGGAGUGAAAUAGAACCUGAAACCCUGCACUUACAAGCUGUGGAAGCACAUUUCUUGUGUGACCGCGUACUUUUUGUAGAACGGGCCAACGAGUUACGUUAAGUAGCAAGGUUAAGCACUUAAGGUGCGGAGCCGUAGCGAAAGCGAGUUUUAACUGAGCGUUCAGUUACUUGACGUAGACCCGAAACCGGGCGACCUACCCAUGAGCAGGAUGAAGCGAAAGUAAAAUUUCGUGGAGGUCCGAACCCACGAGCGUUGAAAAGCUCGGGGAUGACUUGUGGGUAGCGGUGAAAUUCCAAUCGAGCCCGGAGAUAGCUGGUUCUCCCCGAAAUAGCUUUAGGGCUAGCCUCAAGGUGAGAGAUACGGAGGUAGAGCACUGAAUGUCCUAGGGGGUAUUGCACCUACCGAAGACUAUCAAACUCCGAAUGCCGUCAUCUUAUACUUGGGAGUCAGACUGUGGGUGAUAAGAUUCAUAGUCGAAAGGGCAACAGCCCAGAUCGUCAGCUAAGGUCCCUAAAUGUAAGUUAAGUGGUAAAGGAUGUGGGAUUGCACAGACAACCAGGAUGUUGGCUUAGAAGCAGCCACUCAUUCAAAGAGUGCGUAAUAGCUCACUGGUCGAGUGAUCCUGCGCCGAAGAUUUCCGGGGCUAAAACUUACUACCGAAGCUACGGCAUCAGUAAUGAUGGGUAGGGGAGCUUCCCAUACGGGUUGAAGCAUGACCGUAAGGACAUGUGGACAGUAUGGGAGUGAGAAUGUUGGCAUGAGUAGCGAGAUGUGGGUGAGAAUCCCACAGGCCGUAAACCCAAGGUUUCCAGGGGAAGGUUCGUCCGCCCUGGGUUAGUCGGGACCUAAGCUGAGGCCGAAAGGCGUAGGUGAUGGACAACAGGUUGAUAUUCCUGUACUACCGAUAACCGUUUGAGAGAAGGGAUGACACAGUAGGAUAAGCUAAGCACACUGUUGGUUAUGUGUGCCCAAGCAUUGAGGCAGUCAAAGUAGGCAAAUCCGCUUUGAUAAUGCUGGGAUGUGAUGGGGAGCGAAAUUUAGUAGCGAAGUAGCUGAUUUCACACUGUCAAGAAAAGUCUCUAUCGAGGUUAAAGGUACCCGUACCGCAAACCGACACAGGUGGGUGAGGAGAGUAUCCUAAGGCCAGCGAGAGAACUGUUGUUAAGGAACUCGGCAAAAUGACCCCGUAACUUAGGGAUAAGGGGUGCCACCAUCAGGUGGCCGCAGAGAAUAGGCCCAAGCGACUGUUUACCAAAAACAUAGGUUUCUGCUAAGUCGCAAGACGAUGUAUAGGAGCUGACGCCUGCCCGGUGCUGGAAGGUUAAGGGGAUCUGUUAGAGCAAUCGAAGCAGUGAACUUAAGCCCCAGUAAACGGCGGCCGUAACUAUAACGGUCCUAAGGUAGCGAAAUUCCUUGUCGGGUAAGUUCCGACCCGCACGAAAGGCGUAACGAUUUGGGCACUGUCUCAACAACAGACUCGGUGAAAUUGUAAUUCCGGUGAAGAUGCCGGAUACCUGCGACAGGACGGAAAGACCCCAUGGAGCUUUACUGUAGCUUGACAUUGGGUCUUGGUACUACAUGUACAGGAUAGGUGGGAGGCUUUGAAACCAGGACGCCAGUUUUGGCGGAGCCAUCCUUGGGAUACCACCCUUGUAGUACUGGGACUCUAACCAUAGACCAUGAAUCUGGUCUUGGGACACUGUCAGGUGGGCAGUUUGACUGGGGCGGUCGCCUCCCAAAAGGUAACGGAGGCGCUCAAAGGUUCUCUCAGUACGGUCGGAAAUCGUACGUAGAGUGUAAAGGCAAAAGAGAGCUUGAUUGCAAGACAUACAGGUCGAGCAAGGAUGAAAAUCGGACUUAGUGAUCCGGUGGUUCUGCGUGGAAGGGCCAUCGCUCAACGGAUAAAAGCUACCCUGGGGAUAACAGGCUUAUCUCCCCCAAGAGUCCACAUCGACGGGGAGGUUUGGCACCUCGAUGUCGGCUCAUCACAUCCUGGGGCUGUAGUAGGUCCCAAGGGUUGGGCUGUUCGCCCAUUAAAGUGGUACGCGAGCUGGGUUCAGAACGUCGUGAGACAGUUCGGUCCCUAUCCGUCGCAGGCGUAGGAAAUUUGAGAAGACCUGUCCUUAGUACGAGAGGACCGGGAUGGACGUACCUCUGGUGUACCAGUUGUUCUGCCAAGGGCAUGGCUGGGUAGCUAUGUACGGAAUGGAUAAGCGCUGAAAGCAUCUAAGCGCGAAGCCAACUUCAAGAUAAGAUUUCCCACCGCAAGGGUAAGACCCCAGAAAGACUAUCUGGUUGAUAGGUCGAAGGUGUAAGUGCAGCAAUGUAUUUAGCUUAUCGAUACUAAUAGGUCGAGGACUUGACCAA